AGAUAGCACGGGACAGUGACCAGUGUAAAGAACAGCUCAACGAAGCAGAAGCCCUGUAUAAACAGUUGGCCGUCAUCGAAGGCAAUAAUAAGGAAGCCUGGCGUCGUACAAAAAAGAAC